GCAUCCUAAAAGAGAACCCACUGAGAAAAGAUCGGACAAAGGAGGUUGUUGAUGUCGUCUUUCAGGACCAGGUGAAGAGGGCAUGCCAUGUGCUGGGAUGGGGAUGGAAAUCAGUCUGAAGCAGAGAAGGCAAAGCGCACGUCAAGUCUGACCUGGCUGACAGGGCACUGGCACGUUCAAUUCCAACUUUCAGUGUUUGAACGUUCAGCAGUAUGCUCAGGCAAACAGUUGUGCUUCAGAUUAGUGCUACCCUCAGAUUCCACAGCCGAAAUAACUCCACCGACAACACAGAAGUUAACCUGAAGCAGUUAAAGGCACUUUUGGCAUACGUGGUUAUCUAACACAAUUUCUAUCUUGUGAUCCAAACAGCUAACAAAUCAACAACAUCAAACGUUAUUACUGUGUACUGCUUCACAUACUGGACUAAUAUAUUUUAAUAUAUUGCUUCUCUACAUAUAGUAUUAAGGUGUUGCAGUUCCUGCAGCUCACAUGAUUUACGUGAACUACAGCACGGGUAAAUAUCAAGUAUUCAAAGCUUUGUUUAUUGUGUUUCCAAAUUCCUACUAAUUUCAACUUAAAUACGAGUAUGUAUUCACUAAGGCUCGCACUGCUUUACUCAGAACCUCAUUACUUUGCUAAAAUGCUCUCAUUAAUUGAAGCAAAUUUUUAUAAAUCCAUUUAUGAAAGAAUAUCUGAAUAAUGAGUAAUACCAUCGCAAUCUCAUUUCUGGUCAAAAUUCUUAACAAAUUAGAUAUAGUCAAAAUGGUCACAAGUUAUUAGCAUCUUAUGCAAAGACAUUUAUUCAUCUCUCAAGGCCUCAGUUUUGUACAAUUUUUUAUAGGAAUUGUAUUCUCAGUUCCUUGUGUAAGACUUCAUGACAGAGAAAGCUGAGAACAAUCUUAACAAUGAGUACUUAAGGUCAGACUUUCUUUUGUUUGAAAAUUUGAAAAAGGCAAAUUAUCCUUUCCAGAAAAUCUGCUAUUAGUUUAACCAAAAGAAGAACGUUAAUUUAAAAUAAUAUCUGGCUAAGAAUAAAACACAUUUUAGAAAAAAAUAGGUUUGUAUA
rnacentral:lncRNA from 1 species